rnacentral:rRNA from 1 species
GUAAGGAAUAUUGGUCAAUGGAGGCAACUCUGAACCAGCCAUGCCGCGUGGAGGAUGAAGGCCCUCUGGGUUGUAAACUUCUUUUACAGGGGACGAAGCCCUCCUUUUCUAAGGAGACUGACGGUACCCUGGGAAUAAGCACCGGCUAACUCCGUGCCAGCAGCCGCGGUAAUACGGAGGGUGCAAGCGUUAUCCGGAUUCACUGGGUUUAAAGGGUGCGUAGGCGGGUGUGUAAGUCAGUGGUGAAAUCUUCGAGCUUAACUCGGAAACUGCCGUUGAUACUAUACAUCUUGAAUAUUGUGGAGGUGAGCGGAAUAUGUCAUGUAGCGGUGAAAUGCUUAGAUAUGACAUAGAACACCGAUUGCGAAGGCAGCUUGCUACACAAUGAUUGACGCUGAGGCACGAAAGCGUGGGGAUCAAACAGGAUUAGAUACCCGAGUAGUCC